AGCGAACGCUGGCGGCAGGCCUAACACAUGCAAGUCGAGCGGCCGUAGCAAUACGGCAGCGGCAGACGGGAGAGUAACACGUGGGAACGCGCCCUUCGGUUCGGGAUAACUCAGGGAAACUUGGGCUAAUACCGGAUACGCCCUUACGGGGAAAGAUUUAUUGCCGAAGGAACGGCCCGCGUCCGAUUAGCUUGUUGGUGAGGUAACGGCUCACCAAGGCGACGAUCGGUAGCUGGUCUGAGCGGAUGACCAGCCUCACUGGGACUGAGACACGGCCCAGACUCCUACGGGGGGCAGCAGUGGGGAAUAUUGGACAUUGGGCGCAAGCCUGAUCCAGCCAUGCCGCGUGGGUGAUGAAGGCCCUAGGGUUGUAAAGCCCUUUCAGCGGGGAAGAUAAUGACGGUACCCGCAGAAGAAGCCCCGGCUAACUUCGUGCCAGCCGCCGCAGUAA
rnacentral:rRNA from 1 species